rnacentral:rRNA from 1 species
UACGGAGGGUGCAAAGGUUGCUCGGAAUCAUUGGGCGUAAAGCGCACGUAGGUGGCCUGUUAAGUCGGGUGUGAAAUCCCUGGGCUCAACCCAGGAAGUGCACUCGAAACUGGCAGGCUUGAGUACUGAAGAGGGUCGCGGAAUUCCCGGUGUAGAGGUGAAAUUCGUAGAUAUUCGCAAGAACACCAGUGGCGAAGGCGGCUCACUGGCCCGAUACUGACGCUGAGGCACGAAAGCGUGGGGAGCAAACAGG